UAUAGCUCAGUGGCACAGCAUGUGCCUGGCAAGCACAAGGUCCUGAGUUCAAUUCCCAGUA
rfam:Cavia porcellus supercont2_9 genomic scaffold, whole genome shotgun sequence.